GACGAACCACACAAACGUUAUUCGGAAUUACUGGGCUUAAAGGGUGCGUAGGCUGCGCAGAAAGUUGGGUGUGAAAUCCCUCGGCUCAACCGAGGAACUGCGCCCAAAACUACUGUGCUCGAGGGAGACAGAGGUGAGCGGAACUUAGGGUGGAGCGGUGAAAUGCGUUGAUAUCCUAAGGAACACCCGUGGCGAAAGCGGCUCACUGGGUCUCUUCUGACGCUGAGGCACGAAAGCUAGGGUAGCGAACGGG
rnacentral:rRNA from 1 species